AACGUUUGUGCACGGCGUCAUCUCCUCCGUCUUCAGCCAAAUCUCAUUUUUACUGUCCCAUUUUCCCACACCCUUCUCCCUUCCAUUGUUGGUUCUCCAUUUUCAACUACCUACAAAAUGAAAAAAUCGAGUUCCCUUCAUUUCGGCUAGUAACGACAUCCAGUAUAAUCGUCCUCUGCUCUAGGGAAUAUCACCGCCGUCCAGCAGCUCCAAAUUUCUCAUGGGCUUUUCUUCAACACUAGAUUUUGCCCCCAUGAAUUGCAGAAAUAUCGGACAGCUAGAUACAGACCAGAUUCUUCAGAAUUGGGCAUGCUUUGCCCAUGUGAUACUCCCAAAGGUGAAGCUUGUGGAAUGGUAAAAAACUUGGCCUUGAUGACUCAUGUUACAACUGAUGAAGAGGAGGGCCCAUUAAUUUCUCUGUUUUGCUACAUACAGUCGAGUGGUGCAAACGGCGUGGAGUAUGCUGACGCCACGGCAGCUUUUUUUUUAAAAAAAAAAAAAAAAAAAAAAAAAAAGAGAGAAGAGAGAAGAGAAGAGACUCAGAACUGUGAAAGUGGAAUGAAACCAAAACAGAGCUUUGUUUCGUCUAGCUUCCAGGGAGGUGGGUCUUCUUCAUUAUUUUCAUGGGCUUUUCGUGUGGGUCUCUUCCGUCGGCAACUUCAUCAGGCUUUGUAUGGCUCCUCAAGUGCUUACAAUACACCCUUCUGGACCACGAACGUUGGGGCUCCCUUUUUAACAACGACUCAGCCUUAAUCGUUCGAUGACGAACACAGAAGGAGGCAUGGAUAAUCUAGGUGAAAUAUUACAUUGAGACACUUUUUAUUCUUAUAUAGAUUUGGCGCAGCAUCACAUACACCAGGCAGUGUCUGACUCACUCUUGAAGUUUCAAGGUAGCAUCGAAAUGGGACUGUCAAGUACCACCCGACUGCCUCCUCCGCCACAUCUCCUCUCAUCUCUUCUACGGCGUCACUCUAUGUCAGUUCCAAAUGGAUUGGAAGAUCAAAUUGAUGAGAGUUUGCUUUUAGACACAAAGGAGGAAGAUGAGUAUUGUGUAGGUAUUGAUGUACAGUCUUCUGGUAAAGACAUAUUAUCGCCUUUGCACUGGAUCGUAUUUAUUGUAAUAGUUUUUUGUUGGUUUGAACUAUAGUUGUAACGUGUUAUUUUUAAAUCAGCUACAGAUAGUUCGGACGUAAUUGUAUGCUCUAUUGUCUAUGAAUAUAAUUAUGACAGCUUACUCGGGAUAUUAAAAAGAGUGAUCCUAUUCCUUAAUUUUCAUUACUCUUUUUAAUCAACAUAAAUUGUUCUCUUUUCAUUUAGUUCAUUCACCUACAAACAGAUUU